rnacentral:rRNA from 1 species
GGAUAACACUUAGAAAUAGGUGCUAAUACCGCAUAAGCGCACGGUCCUGCAUGGGACAGUGUGAAAAACUCCGGUGGUGCAAGAUGGACCCGCGUCUGAUUAGCUGGUUGGCGGGGUAAAGGCCCACCAAGGCGACGAUCAGUAGCCGGCCUGAGAGGGUGGACGGCCACAUUGGGACUGAGACACGGCCCAAACUCCUACGGGAGGCAGCAGUGGGGGAUAUUGGACAAUGGGGGGAACCCUGAUCCAGCGACGCCGCGUGAGUGAAGAAGUAUUUCGGUAUGUAAAGCUCUGUCAGCAGGGAAGAAAGCAAUGACGGUACCUGACCAAGAAGCCCCGGCUAACUACGUGCCAGCAGCCGCGGUAAUACGUAGGGGGCAAGCGUUAUCCGGAAUUACUGGGUGUAAAGGGAGCGUAGACGGCUGUGCAAGUCUGGAGUGAAAGGCGGGGGCCCAACCCCCGGACUGCUCUGGAAACUGUAUGGCUGGAGUGCAGGAGAGGUAAGCGGAAUUCCUAGUGUAGCGGUGAAAUGCGUAGAUAUUAGGAGGAACACCAGUGGCGAAGGCGGCUUACUGGACUGUAACUGACGUUGAGGCUCGAAAGCGUGGGGAGCAAACAGGAUUAGAUACCCUGGUAGUCCACGCCGUAAACGAUGAUUACUAGGUGUCGGUGGGUAUGGACCCAUCGGU